UACGGAGGGUGCAAACGUUGCUCGGAAUUAUUGGGCGUAAAGCGCACGUAGGCGGACUGUUAAGUCGGAUGUGAAAGCCCUCGGCUUAACCGAGGAAGUGCACUCGAAACUGGCAGUCUUGAGUAUGGAAGAGGGUCGCGGAAUUCCCGGUGUAGAGGUGAAAUUCGUAGAUAUCGGGAGGAACACCAGUGGCGAAGGCGGCUUCCUGGCCCGAUACUGACGCUGAGGUGCGAAAGCGUGGGGAGCAAACAGG
rnacentral:misc_RNA from 1 species